AAGGGUAAUAAAAUGAAAGUUUAAAUUUCCUACCAUACAUUUAGUAGAAGGCAUACGUAUACUGAUUGACUUGAGACUACAUUUACUUAUGAGUUCACUACACACAAAUAGAAAACAAUAAUUUAUAGAGACACCAUGUUUUUCUUUUAAGACAAAGUCUAAUUAUGUAGACCUGGCCGGCCUAGAAUUCAGCGACCCAUACUGUACAGAGCAGGGAUUAAAGCCAAGAGCCCACCAAGCUUGCUCUGACAGUAUUCACUUAAUUUCUGUAUCUGGAUGUUAGUAUGAGCAUGUACCUUAGGGUACCGGUGGAGGCCAUCAGAUCCCUGGGGCUGGAGUUACAUAGGGAACUGAGUGUACUAGGAAGAGAACUCCAGGCCUCUGUACAAACAGUUAUCAAGCACUUUAAUCAUUAGACCAUCUUGCCCAGCCCCUUAUGGAAAAAAUGUAAAAGAAAUUAAUUUUAAACAGAAAGGUUACCUGUUAACUCAAAGUACUGCUAGCUACUAAAGUAUUUUAAGAGAAGAGUAAACAACAUCAUGUAGUGUCUCUCAUGUUUUCCUCAUUAAGUACAACAGUCUCACAACAUUGACUCAGACUAAAUCCUAACAGUCAGCACUGCUGGUCAUGGAAAGGAGGUGAAUGGAACUAGAAAAGAAAA
rnacentral:lncRNA from 1 species